AGAGUUUGAUCCUGGCUCAGGAUGAACGCUAGCUACAGGCUUAACACAUGCAAGUCGAGGGGCAGCAUGGUCUUAGCUUGCUAAGGCCGAUGGCGACCGGCGCACGGGUGAGUAACACGUAUCCAACCUGCCGUCUACUCUUGGACAGCCUUCUGAAAGGAAGAUUAAUACAAGAUGGCAUCAUGAGUCCGCAUGUUCACAUGAUUAAAGGUAUUCCGGUAGACGAUGGGGAUGCGUUCCAUUAGAUAGUAGGCGGGGUAACGGCCCACCUAGUCUUCGAUGGAUAGGGGUUCUGAGAGGAAGGUCCCCCACAUUGGAACUGAGACACGGUCCAAACUCCUACGGGAGGCAGCAGUGAGGAAUAUUGGUCAAUGGGCGAGAGCCUGAACCAGCCAAGUAGCGUGAAGGAUGACUGCCCUAUGGGUUGUAAACUUCUUUUAUAAAGGAAUAAAGUCGGGUAUGGAUACCCGUUUGCAUGUACUUUAUGAAUAAGGAUCGGCUAACUCCGUGCCAGCAGCCGCGGUAAUACGGAGGAUCCGAGCGUUAUCCGGAUUUAUUGGGUUUAAAGGGAGCGUAGAUGGAUGUUUAAGUCAGUUGUGAAAGUUUGCGGCUCAACCGUAAAAUUGCAGUUGAUACUGGAUAUCUUGAGUGCAGUUGAGGCAGGCGGAAUUCGUGGUGUAGCGGUGAAAUGCUUAGAUAUCACGAAGAACUCCGAUUGCGAAGGCAGCCUGCUAAGCUGCAACUGACAUUGAGGCUCGAAAGUGUGGGUAUCAAACAGGAUUAGAUACCCUGGUAGUCCACACGGUAAACGAUGAAUACUCGCUGUUUGCGAUAUACUGCAAGCGGCCAAGCGAAAGCGUUAAGUAUUCCACCUGGGGAGUACGCCGGCAACGGUGAAACUCAAAGGAAUUGACGGGGGCCCGCACAGGCGGAGGAACAUGUGGUUUAAUUCGAUGAUACGCGAGGAACCUUACCCGGGCUUAAAUUGCAGAUGAAUUACGGUGAAAGCCGUAAGCCGCAAGGCAUCUGUGAAGGUGCUGCAUGGUUGUCGUCAGCUCGUGCCGUGAGGUGUCGGCUUAAGUGCCAUAACGAGCGCAACCCUUGUUGUCAGUUACUAACAGGUUCUGCUGAGGACUCUGACAAGACUGCCAUCGUAAGAUGUGAGGAAGGUGGGGAUGACGUCAAAUCAGCACGGCCCUUACGUCCGGGGCUACACACGUGUUACAAUGGGGGGUACAGAGGGCCGCUACCACGCGAGUGGAUGCCAAUCCCAAAAACCUCUCUCAGUUCGGACUGGAGUCUGCAACCCGACUCCACGAAGCUGGAUUCGCUAGUAAUCGCGCAUCAGCCACGGCGCGGUGAAUACGUUCCCGGGCCUUGUACACACCGCCCGUCAAGCCAUGGGAGCCGGGGGUACCUGAAGUGCGUAACCGCGAGGAGCGCCCUAGGGUAAAACUGGUGACUGGGGCUAAGUCGUAACAAGGUAGCCG
rnacentral:rRNA from 1 species